CCCCCGCCCCGCCCGGCCGCGGAGGAGCCGGUGCCGGGGAUGCUGCCCGGGGUACGGGGAGGGGGGAGGCAGCGCUCCGAGUACGGCAGCGGCUCAGACCAGCUCCUUCCCUACUCCUGACACCACUCCAGUGCUGGGGGUGUUUUUUAUGUCUUCACUGCUGAAGAGGCGAUCUGGGAAAGGAAAAGAAAACAAGCCAAGUCCUAGAACUCAGCAGUUGGGCACAAGAAAGGUUCCCUCAGCCUCAGCAGGAAUCUCUCAUUCCCCUUUGGGUCCUGGCAGGGCAGGCGCUGGGCUGCACGGGCACUGAGGGCACAGCGCCCUGCCAGGACCCCCCAGCGAAGCCCAGGAGGACGGGCCAGGCCCGGGGUGUCGGUGACAGCCUGCAGGGGACACUCAGGGAGCGCUGCCAUCUCCUGCCCUCAGCUGGGCACGGCCGGACCUGGGAGCGCAGCUGAAGCAAUGCUGGACUUCCACCAGGAUUUUAAUUCAAUACUUGCAAGGAAAUGUGUGCUGUGGGAAUUCUAAGGUGCUGCUGGAUAUGCAGAACAGGAGAGUGGGGUUUUUUUUCCCAUUUUUGGCUGUAGAGGUACAAGUACCUUUAAGUGAGAGAAUCCCAUCUUUGUGGCUUUUGUUCAGCUCUGCAAUGAAGCUUUUGCUCACAUUAUCCAAGGCCUGAAAGGGAUGAAAUUCUUAAUAAAAGCCCCAGAAAUGCAACUAC